AUCUCACCAUUGCGCUCCAGCCUGGGCAACAAGAGUGAAACUCUGUCUCAAAAGAAAAAAAAAGAAAAGAAAAGAAGAAGAAGAAGGUUCAUCUUCAGACUCCUAGUCCAGAGCUCUCAGCAAUCCUCAUCUUGUAAUGCUGUCUACAGACUCCAAGAUCUCCCAACGUGAAUUAGCAACCGAUGCAUCAAAGGUGGCACCUCGGCCGGGCACGGUGGCUCACGCCUGUAAUCUCAGCACUUUGGGAGGCCGAGGUGUUGGAGCGGGCCGGAGAGAAGUAGAGUGGGCUGCGAGGAGAAGGAAACAGGCCUUUCGGAGGCUCCUCAUCCCUCGGAGGUCAUCCCUUACUCCAGGUGAUCUGAACCUGAAGUCCGAGGCCCCAAGAGUUCUAAGUAACCCAGGGGUGGAGGUGGGGUGGGGGAUCCCAGCUCUUUCCGAUCUGGGAGAUCAGAAAGAUGCUCAUCUGGGAGAGUGGGACCUCCCCUUUCAGUCCGCCCACCCCCGAGGACCGCACUUGGAGGGCCGCACUUGGAGGACCGCGCCUCCAAGGCGGGCGCGGCUGACGCCCGGGGCCCAGGCCAUGUGGGGCGUGCGUGCCGGGAGAAGUGUCCCAGCGCCUCACCC
rnacentral:lncRNA from 1 species